GGGCGCUUAGCUCAGUUGGCUAGAGCGACUGGUUUACACCCAGUAGGUCAUAGGUUCGACCCCUAUAGCGCCCACCA
rnacentral:tRNA from 5 species